UAACCAUGGUGGGGCAGAGGGCUUGUAAUUCUUUGUAUCUUUCCCAUGCUUGAUAUAAAGUUUUACUCUCCUUUUGAGUAAAAGAAGAUAUUUACUUUUUCAUUGU
rnacentral:snoRNA from 1 species